rnacentral:ncRNA from 1 species
UGAUAGCGUUGAAACGUGAGGUUGCUGCGGAGGUUGCCGCAGAGGUUCCCCGCAGGUUUUCCGUGGAGCGAAUGUCAAGUUAUAAAACUGGCGACAA